CAAUAGCGUAUAUUAAAGUUGUUGCAGUUAAAAAGCUCGUAGUCGGAUUUCUGGCUCGGAAGAGCGGUCCGUUGUGCUUCGGCCAAUGUGAACCAGCAUCUUCCAGCCAUCCUCGUGGGAAACUGUAGGGCACAUUGUGUUCCUGCAUGUGACCUGCGUCAUUUACUGUGAACAAAUUAAAGUGUUCAAAGCAGGCUUACGCCACUGAAUACAUUAGCAUGGAAUAAUACUAUAAGACUCUGGUGUCCUAUUGUUGGUUACGCACCAAGUAAUGAUUAAUAGGGAUAGUUGGGGGUUAGGGUUAGAACUACUGCGAAAGCAUUUACCAAGGAUGUUUUCAUUGA
rnacentral:rRNA from 1 species